rnacentral:lncRNA from 9 species
CCUCCCUGCCCCUCAGAUUCCUUUCUUCUUCCUCCUUAAGGUCUAAACGUUUAUUGAACGGAGGCUCAAAACCGAGUUACUGAACUAGGCUUUCAGUAGUAGACACGUGUCAUGUUUAAGAUUUAUUUUAUUCAUUUCCAUCCAUUGUGCCAAAGGACCUGCUCCAGGAAAAUGCUCCCCUGUUGAUAGGUGCGGGAGAGUAAAAGGGAGACGAUGAAGCUAAAUUAAAACUGAAGUCCUUUGUGCUCAGGGAAUAUGACCUUAGAGUGGGAGAGGGGCGGGGAGUGAGUAGAAAAGUCGGCGAAGCAAAAAUAAGGAAGGUUGGGGCCCUGUAACCUAGCAUCCUGAAAUAUCAGCGUAGGUAAGGUAGCAGGCAAGGCACGAAUGCACUCAAAGCCCAGGUGUACUUCCCUCAUCAAAUGCUGGCUCCCGAAGGGUACUGAGGGGAGGGGUCACGCGGGGGGAGGGGGGGUGUCCCUGGAUGGUUUUUUCCUCUUUAGGGACCUGCUUGCCGGAUGAUUCCGUCUCCCACUUGCUUCUCUUCGGCUCCUUCUUUCCCAUCUGCCAGGGGAGCUUAAAGACAUCUCUGCCGCCCAGUUACAAAAAGUGGCAACUUCCCCUCCGGCCCGCAGACUGAUCGCUCAUUUGAAUGCGUUUCCUUUUCAUUAAGAACAAAGGUUGGAGUCCGAGCCUCGCGGCGCGGCGGCCGGAAAGUACAAGAUGUGUGUCGAGAGCAAACACACACACACACACACACACACACACACAGAAUGACCCACGAGAAAGGGAAAGGGGAAAACACCAAUCCUGCGCUGGGCUUUUUCGACUUUUCCUUUAAAAAGAAAAAAGUUUUUCAAGCUGCGCGGGCUUCCUGUGCGCGGCUGAGCCGGGGCGCAGCGCGACGGUCCCAUCGGGCGGCCUCCACCCUCGGGACGCGAGCGGAGCGCCGAGCCCAGCGGCGAUCACGCGACGCGGGGAAGGAAGGAAGAUCUCUCCUUUCAAAGAUAACUAGCCAAAUGAACAUAAUAAACAAGUCCAAGCAGUUGGAGGGGCGGCCGCCACCCCACCGUCUCCAAAUAACUGAUUCGCAUUUCCGAGACGGUUCACCUGAAGCCUUGCCUGCCACCUUGGUUCUCCCACCUGAAGGAGAUGGUUCUAAUGGUGGUGCAAACCAGGAAGGGGAAAUCUGUGGUUUACGUUCUCUGUGCCUCAUCCCUCUCGGAGAGCUGGAGGCUUGCUGGAGGCUAUAUGCUGUUAAUGCUAAUUGUGAUAGGGGUUUUUACCUCCGUCUGACUCCUACAUGUUAGCAUUAACAGGGUAUGAUGCCUGUUACUAGCAUUCACAUGGAACAAACUGCUGCUGUGGGAGGAUGACAAAGAAGUGUGAGUCACCCUGCUGGAUAAACUCAGACUUUAAGCUUUAUUAUUUUUUGUUAAUCAUAAUCUGGUCACUGGGAUGUUCCACCUGAUAGUAAGUCUUUAAGAAUAAGGUCUUGUAAAAGAUUUAUCAACGGUAUCCUGAAAGCAAACUUUUUUACUUUAAUCCUUAAGCCCACAUUUUUUUUAAAAAAAUCUUUAAUGGAAAAUGUAUUCCUGUCCUUUUUAAUUCACAGUUAUGGUUUGUUCAUUAUAACUGUUUAUAAACACUUUGAAUAAUUUAACUAGAAAGAAAUAUAAACACAUUCUGAGUAUCUUUGCAGUUAAAAAUUAGGACUACUAUCCACUAAUUAAUCAUGGAUUGUUGGGAAAUAUGUUCAAAAAGAUUUAGAAAUUGGUAUUUCCCCCAUGUAACAAUUCUAUUUAGACAACUUCAGUUUCAAAUGGAUACUUUUAUAUGAAUCUUAAAGUAGACUUGAAAGGCUAUGGCAAUUAGUUUUUAAAAAAUGAAAGAUUUCAUUCUUUUUUAUGGCUGAGUAGUAUUCCAUUGCAUAUAUAUACCACAUAUCCUUAAUCCACCCAUUCGUCUGUCGCUGGACAUUUAGGCUGUUUCCAUUUGCAGCAACAUGGAUGCAAAUAGAGAUUCUCAUACUAAAUGAAGUUAAGUCAGAAAGAUAAAGACAAAUUCCAUAUGAUAUCAGUUAUAUGUGGACUCAAAAAUAUGGCACAAAUGAACCUAUCUACAAAACAGAAACAGACCCACAGACAUAGAGAAUAGACUUGUGGUUGCCAAGGGGGAGGGAAGAGGGAGUGGGAUGGAUGGGCAGUUUGGGGUUAGUAGAUACAGACUAUUACAUUUAGAUUAGAUGGGCAAUGAGGUCCUACUAUUCAGCACGGGGAACUAUAUCCAGUCUCUUGGGAUAGACCAUGAUGGAAGAUAAUAUAAGACAAGGAAUGAAUAUAUACAUAUGACUGGGUCACCUUGCUGCAAUAGCAGAACUUGCCACAACGUUGUACAUCAACUAUACGUUAAUAAAAAAAUCAAAAAGAUUUUUUAAACUUAGUACAGUUAAUGACAUGUGAGAACCAAUCCAUCUUUUCCCUACAAGAUAACAAAGAUUUGAUCAAAAAAAAUCUCUUAUUUGAAAUUAAGUCCCAAAACUAUGUUCAAAUUCAAUAGCUUAGCCGUUAGGUCAGAAAAUCCACCUCUCCUCUUCUCAGCUUGUUUAUUGUCCCACAGAAUGGGCUAAUACUUAACAGAGUUGGUAUGAGGCUUACGUGAGAUGGAGAACUAUUUUGUAAAAUAUGAAGUAUCAAUGUUAAUAUAUUAAUAAUAUAUUAACGUUAUAGUCAAAUUAAUCCCCCCUCUUUGUUAGAGAAAAACUAAUGAUUUGAUCCACAGAAUUUUUCAGGUCUGGAUUUCUAUGCCAUUUUUCUCCAGAGUUAUAGAACUGUACCACUUACAAAUACAUAGCUAAUUGUAAUCAGCAUCUUUAAUGUGUGUUUGUGUUAGCAACUCUUCUCAAUGUUUUGUCAAACAAGUUAUGUGCACUGAAACCAAAUAAAUCACUUGAGUGGUUGAUUUAAAAUAAUUUUUUGUUAUGGCCUUUUUUCUUUUGCAUCAUACAAAUUAUAAUUUCAGAAGUUAUUUACACACACACACACACACAAAGACAAUGGGAAAAAAUUAUGAGACCUCUAAGGGGAACAUUGCUGACUCUUAGGACACAGUAUUCUCAUGUGGGGGCAUCCCCCCCCCGGCCUAUCCCCCAUCUCUGUUCAGGUGGUCUGUGCUGCCAAAAUAAAUUCCUCCUCUUGACCCUGGAAGGAACACGUGGCUCCAGAGAGCCUCCAUGUAGGUACAUCACAAUAAGGCAUGUUUCCUGGGACUAUUCAUUUCAUCUGCACUGCUUGUCUUCUAGAGGAGUCCUUACUCUGAGUCCCAGUUCUUCCACACCCUGCUUGCAGCACCUACAGCCACGGAGUCUCAGUGUGUUAGCCCUGGAAUACGCUAAUCCAGUAUUACCUUCCUGCUGUUACAAUGAAAAGCUAUGUACAUCGAAAAGGCAGAUUAAGAAAAACUGCUGUGAAAUGAUUUGUUUGAAGAGCGACAGACCACUCUAUAUGAAACUAAAGGGAGUUUUACUUAAUCUAAGUCUCAGUUUCUUCAUCAGUAAAACAAUGAAUGUAUUUCAUAAGGAUGGCAGGCUGAAAUGAAAACAGUAUUUCUGAAAAGCAUGGUGUCUGCUCUGCAAUAAGUGUUAAGUAAACACUAGCUUUAAAAGUUUUAAAUUUCUAAAUCAAGUGACCUACCCUACCCUAGCAGAUCUCUCCAAGGACACAGCAGCUCCAAUCUAACCAUAAUCCCAGGAUGACAACCCAGGGAACCUGAAUAAUGCCACUGUCACUGGGUUUUCUCUUAGCCCAACUCUCUUAGGCCUCUAGUGCCUGACCUCAUGGUCUUAGACGGAGUCCUCCUGACCAAUAUAUUUAGUCAUUUCAAACAUUCUUGGAACAUGAGUAAGACUGGGGGUGUGUUUGGGUUGGAGGAAGAGGUAAGUGGCAAGGAAGUGAGUGUGUGUGUUGAAGUGACAAACUAAGAGUGGCUAAAGGGAACGUGGGCUCUGGGAUAGAUGGUGAAGGGAAAAGGACCUCAGUUUGGUACACAGAAUAACAGAACUGUGUGAAGCACUACAUUAUGCAGGACCUGAUUUAUUUAAUUACAAAAAAAAAACCCUGAAGAAUGAGGGUUGUCUAGGAUCUGACUCACUUCCCCAGAAAGUUGUUACAGUAGAGAUCAGGCUUUUCUUCUUCACUGUCACCAGCUGGAUAGACCCAGAAACUUAAAACAAAGGGGGGAAAAAGAGAAGAAUAAGGAAAAAAGUGAAAUGAGGAGAAUAAGGAACUUAUAUAAAACUGGAGUAUUAGAAUUUUUCCAAAAAUGGAGAUGACCAGGACUUUGUUCGAAGGUUAGGAAACUUGAAGAAUAAAAAAAGCUUGAAGGAAAUAGAGAGCCCAUAAAUGCGAAGCACUCAAAAAAGGCUGACCCAUUAUGUGGUUCUCCAGAAAACUGAAACGAAUAGAUGAAAUCUGCAUGUAACAGUUCAGCUUUCCACUUAGGAUUUCAUAUUUUGUCAUAUGCAAUACGGAGAAGGAAAUAAUGCAUACGUAAAAGAUUUGUUGUUGUUGUUGUUACUAUUGUGUUUUAACUAAUCUAAGAGUUCCAGUAUUAGUCUUCAACCGGCUAACACAUAUACAUCCCUAACCACUUAAGUAAUGAUUUUUCUAGGUGGAUUUCUCAAAUGUCAUUCCAUGCCAACGAUGUCUUCCCUAGGUUGGAUCACUCUUCCACCCUUCUUUGCACAGCUCAGCGAUUUCUCGGGUCACUAGCAUUUAACACACUGUAUCCCACUUUGUUUUCAUAUGGGAAUGACUGAACUAGAGCAGGUGGUACCCUAGGGCCCAUCCACCUUUUCGCCUACCCAUAUCCUGCUCACUGUUCACCAACUUAAUCACCAUUAUCAUUCCAAGGCGAAACCUAAAAACAGAACUCGGCUUAAAUAUACCAUGACCCAGGAACUUCCACAUGGCACAAGCUGGGCCAAAUAGAUAAAUAAAUAAUGAUGAAUACAGUGAACAUUUCACUUUAUACUGACAGGUUCAAAGAGAUGAUCUGGAGGAUAUAAAAGUUCAUUACAGCAAAUAAAUGACUGGAACAUGCUACAUAUAAAUGAUGAGCUAGGGCUGCAAUUAUCUCCUCAGAAACCUGUCAAGGUGCAGGCUCCCAGGCUCCCACCCCCAAGAUUCUGAUUCUGCAAUGAGGCUGAGGAAAGUACCUUUUUACCAAG